rnacentral:lncRNA from 1 species
AGAUAUCACCUUCCACCUACUCUAUUCACACACACACACACCCCACCAGACACCCCACACACCCCACACACACCCCACCCCGCACACACCCCCACACACACACACACACCCCCACACACCCCCCACAACCCCCACACACACACACCCCCACACACCCCCACACACAUCACACCCCCGCACACACCCCACACACACCCCCACACACCACACACACCCCACACACCCUGCACACACCCCACACACCCCCACACACACCCCACACACACCCCACCCCGCACACACCCCACACCCCACACACACACCACACCCACCCACACACACCACACCCCCACACACCCCCACACACCCCACACACACCCCCGCACACACCCCCACCCCUGCACACACCCCACCCUGCACACACCCCCACACACACCCCCCACACACACACCCCCCCACACACACCCCCACACACACCCCCCCACACACCCCCCACACACCCCCACCCCCCCACACACCACACACACACCACACCCCCCACACACCACCCACACACCACCCACACACCCCACACACCCCACACACCCCACACACCCCGCACACACCCCACCCCCUACACACCCCACACACCCACACCACCACACACACACACACACCCCCACACACCCACACCCCCACACCACACCACCCCACACACCCCACCCACACCACCCACCACACCCCACACCCCACACCACCACCCCACACACCCCACCCCCACACACCCCACACACCCCACCCCUGCACACACACCCCCCACACACCCCCCACACACCCCCCCCACACACCCCCCACACCCCCCCCCACACACCCCACCCACACCCCCCACACACCCCCAGACACACCAGACACACCCCCACCUGCACAUUCUUGCACUCCCAGACACACACCUUUACACACCCCCCACACACCACACACCACACACCCUGCCACACCACACCACACCCCACCCACACACACCACACCCCCCCACACACCACCCACACACGCCCCCACACCCCCACGCCCCCACACACCCCCCCCUACACACACCACACACCCACACACACACCCCACCACACACACACACCCCACACACACACCCCUCCACACCCCUCCACACCCCCUCACACACCUACACACACCACACACACACCACAUACCACACACACACACACACCACAAACUACAUACACCACACACCACACCACACACACACACCUCCCCCCUCUCAAAUCAGCUUUCAUUCAUUAUCUCCUUUCCCCUUCAGGACCUUGCUGCAUGCACAGUUUCCUUUCUUCUAUAAAUUAAUUCUCUUGCCUGUUAGUAGUUCAUUGCCCUCAGCCUAUAAA